rnacentral:lncRNA from 1 species
CCUCUUCCUUCCCAGUCAUAAAUAAACAAAAAAAUAAAUUCCAGGUUCUACUGGGUAAACCAUUUUUCAAACAUCUUCCACCCUACCUACCCAGCGGAAAACAUCCUUAACGAUUGCCAGAGAGUUUUGAAAAAUAAAAAGAAAAAAGAAAAGCUUGUUAAUAAAAGGCGGAGAGCUUGUCGAAAAAAGAGUCAAUCAUAUCGCAUCAGCAUCAUGCAUAUGUCAUGCAUCUCUAAACUUUCAUAAAU